AACUGAUACUACCUGCGGGAACCUGCGGAGGGAUCAUUACAAGUGACCCCGGUCUAACCACCGGGAUGUUCAUAACCCUUUGUUGUCCGACUCUGUUGCCUCCGGGGCGACCCUGCCUUCGGGCGGGGGCUCCGGGUGGACACUUCAAACUCUUGCGUAACUUUGCAGUCUGAGUAAACUUAAUUAAUAAAUUAAAACUUUCAACAACGGAUCUCU
rnacentral:misc_RNA from 1 species